rnacentral:rRNA from 1 species
UACGUAGGUGGCAAGCGUUGUCCGGAUUUAUUGGGUUUAAAGGGUGCGUAGGCGGUUCCAUAAGUCAGUGGUGAAAUACGGCAGCUCAACUGUCGAGGUGCCAUUGAUACUGCGGAACUUGAGUGUUGAUGAGGCAGGCGGAAUUGACGGUGUAGCGGUGAAAUGCUUAGAUAUCGUCAAGAACACCGAUAGCGAAGGCAGCUUGCCAAGCAACAACUGACGCUCAGGCACGAAAGCGUGGGGAGCAAACAGG